rnacentral:lncRNA from 1 species
AGUCGCAGUGUAGAUUCUCAAGGUUGCAUGCAUAGUAUGUGCCAAACUGACCGGCGACCAUGUUCAAUGUUCCAAAGCAAUCUCCAAUUGAAUUGGCGAGUGUUUUUCCCUGCAUGGUCUUGUCACAUACUAUUAAAUACACUUCAUACAAGUUCAUACUCUUACUCAAACCAACACAAGUCAUUGUCAUACCAAAAGAAUCAUACUAUGUCAUAUGCACCCAAA